UACGGAGGGUGCGAGCGUUGUUCGGAAUCACUGGGCGUAAAGCGCGUGUAGGCGGCCCACUAAGUCUGAUGUGAAAGCCCGGGGCUCACCCCCGGAAGUGCAUUGGAAACUGGUGGACUCGAGUCCCGGAGAGGAGAGUGGAAUUCCUGGUGUAGCGGUGAAAUGCGUAGAUAUCAGGAGGAACACCGAUGGCGAAGGCAGGUCUCUGGGCUGACACUGACGCUCAUGCACGAAAGCGUGGGGAGCAAACAGG
rnacentral:rRNA from 1 species